rnacentral:sRNA from 11 species
AGCAUUAUUACCGCCAUUCCUUAUUUGGCGGGCUAGCUGACGGCUGCACCGAACCCGCCCUCGAGGCGGGUUUU